ensembl:lncRNA
CUGUCCUGUCUGCUCCUCCAACUUGGGCUAUGCUAACAUUUGUGAGCUUAAAUGAAGCUAGCAGUCCCAAAGCAUAUCAAAAAGCCUAAAAUACUGGACUGACCCUUGUAAACUGCGAGUCCUUUUUUUGGAAAUCAUAUCAACCCAAGAAUUCUGUAAAAUAAGACAAUAGUAUUUGUGGCUUGGCUCCACAUCCCUCUUUUAGCAAAAUUACAAAAAAUAAAGAUCACUUAUUUUGCACUCAUCAAACAAAACAAAAAACACAUUUUACAAUUUGGCACUUUCUUACCCCUUUUAUGUCAUGCACCUUGUUCAAAUGGCUCUCCCCCUUCUCCAAAAAUCCUUUUAAUAUUAGCUCUAUUUGUGGUACAGAUGAAAUGUAUAUUAAUUUUUAGUCAAAUAAUUAGGGGGAAUACCAAAAAUAUGUAUUGAAGUUGGCUUGUAUGAGUAAAACAAGCUUGAAAACGAUAUGUUCUUUGCCCAACCUAACCAUUGUUCUAGCGUUUGAGUUAAAUUUUUAGGUAAACUUUGCCCCAUAUUCUGUGUGUGAGGGAGUUAGCUUGAAGACGAUCGCCUUUGGUGGCCUUUUGAAAAAUGACCACAAUGAUGUUUAUAUGAAAUUAGGUUGUGGAAAGGACUCUUCUUCUUUUUUUUCCUUUUUUGUUUUUGCCAUUACGGCUUUAAAAAAAAAAAACAACUUGUUGAAGUGUGUCGUUAUAGGACAUACCGCUUAAAUGGACAAAUAGGAAUGUUAGUUUAAGAAAUCAAAAAUCUUAAAAUGAAAUACAACAAACUGAGCCUGGCUGCAGUUUAGUACUCUGUCAUUAUAUGGCACUCGACCUUCUAGUUUAGUUGAUUUGCAUCCCGGAUUGGAAAAAGCCUCGUUUGAAAACUUAAAGUGCAUUUGACAGAUUAAUAUAUUUUUCAAAUUAUUACUUGGUUUGUUGAGAUAGUACCUGUGGUAAAUAUUUAUCACAGAUUUACAUCUGUCAAGUGGCAGUUUGUGAAGAAAAGUAGAAAA